AACGCCAGGGAAUUACGAGCAAUGCUUAAAACCCAAAGGAUUUGACGGUAUCCCAUCCACCUAGAGGAGCCUGUUCUAUAAUCGAUACCCCCCGCUACACCCAACCACUCCUAGCCCAUCAGCCUGUAUACCUCCGUCGAAAGCCUACCAUGUGAAUGUUCUUAGUGAGCUUAAUGUCCCCGUCAAAACGUCAGGUCAAGGUGCAGCUCAUGGAGUGGAAAGCAAUGGGCUACAAUUUCUAAUCUAGAACAUACGAAAAACUAGGUGAAACCCUAGUCAUGAAGGCGGAUUUAGUAGUAAAAAGAAAAUAGAGUGUUCUUUUUAACCCGGCCCUGGGAUGUGUACACACCGCCCGUCACCCUCUUCGACUGUAUUUAAUAAUGUUCUAUAACUUCCCCCCCACAUUUUAGAAGAGGCAAGUCGUAACACGGUAAGUGUACUGGAAAGUGCACUUCGACUAUAC
rnacentral:rRNA from 1 species